rnacentral:rRNA from 1 species
AUGGCUCAGGAUGAACGCUAGCGGGAGGCCUAACACAUGCAAGCCGAGCGGUAUAGAAUCUUCGGAUUUUAGAGAGCGGCGUACGGGUGCGGAACACGUGUGCAACCUACCUUUAUCUGGAGGAUAGCCUUUCGAAAGGAAGAUUAAUACUCCAUAAUAUAUUGAUUGGCAUCAAUUAAUAUUGAAAGCUCCGGCGGAUAGAGAUGGGCACGCGCAAGAUUAGUUAGUUGGUGAGGUAACGGCUCACCAAGACGAUGAUCUUUAGGGGGCCUGAGAGGGUGAUCCCCCACACUGGUACUGAGACACGGACCAGACUCCUACGGGAGGCAGCAGUGAGGAAUAUUGGACAAUGGGUGCAAGCCUGAUCCAGCCAUCCCGCGUGAAGGACGACUGCCCUAUGGGUUGUAAACUUCUUUUGUAUAGGGAUAAACCUCUCCUCGUGAGGAGAGCUGAAGGUACUAUACGAAUAAGCACCGGCUAACUCCGUG